AUGGCUAGGGGGUCAUGGCGACUUACCAAACCAUUGCAAACUCCGAAUACCGAUGAGUACAGCACGGGAGACAGAGCACCGGGUGCUAACGUCCGGACUCAAGAGGGAAACAACCCAGACCGCCAGCUAAGGUCCCUAAAAUUGGCUAAGUGGGAAACGAAGUGGGAAGGCUAAAACAGUCAGGAUGUUGGCUUAGAAGCAGCCAUCAUUUAAAGAAAGCGUAAUAGCUCACUGAUCGAGUCGUCCUGCGCGGAAGAUGUAACGGGGCUAAGCCACUAACCGAAGCCGCGGAUGCGCCGUAAGGCGCGUGGUAGGAGAGCGUUCCGUAAGCCGGCGAAGGCGGAUCGAAAGGCCCGCUGGAGGUAUCGGAAGUGCGAAUGCUGACAUGAGUAGCGUUAAAGGGGGUGAAAAGCCCCCUCGCCGAAAGCGCAAGGUUUCCUACGCAACGUUCAUCGGCGUAGGGUGAGUCGGCCCCUAAGGCGAGGCAGAGAUGCGUAGCUGAUGGGAAACAGGUCAAUAUUCCUGUACCGAUGUGUAGUGCGAUGUGGGGACGGAGAAGGUUAGCUCAGCCGGCUGUUGGAGUCCGGUUCAAGCCUGUAGUCGUGCCUGGUAGGUAAAUCCGCCGGGCUUAGAUGAGAGGUGAUAACGAGGAAGCUUGCUUCCGAAGUGAGUGAUACCCUGCUUCCAGGAAAAGCCACUAAGCUUCAGCUGCACACGACCGUACCGCAAACCGACACUGGUGCGCGAGAUGAGUAUUCUAAGGCGCUUGAGAGAACUCUGGAGAAGGAACUCGGCAAAUUGACACCGUAACUUCGGAAGAAGGUGUGCCCUUAGUAGGUGAACCCGCGCAGGGGGAGCUGAAUGGGGUCGCAGAGAAUCGGUGGCUGCGACUGUUUAAUAAAAACACAGCACUCUGCAAAGACGAAAGUCGACGUAUAGGGUGUGACGCCUGCCCGGUGCUGGAAGAUUAAAUGAUGGGGUGCAAGCUCUUGACUGAAGUCCCAGUAAACGGCGGCCGUAACUAUAACGGUCCUAAGGUAGCGAAAUUCCUUGUCGGGUAAGUUCCGACCUGCACGAAUGGCGUAACGAUGGCCACACUGUCUCCUCCAGAGACUCAGCGAAGUUGAAAUGUUUGUGAUGAUGCAAUCUCCCCGCGGAAAGACGGAAAGACCCCAUGAACCUUUACUGUAGCUUUACAUUGGACUUUGAACAGAUCUGUGUAGGAUAGGUGGGAGGCUUUGAAGCGGUGCCGCUAGGUGUCGUGGAGCCAACGUUGAAAUACCACCCUGGUGUGUUUGAGGUUCUAACCUUGGCCCGUGAUCCGGGUUGGGGACAGUGUAUGGUGGGCAGUUUGACUGGGGCGGUCUCCUCCCAAAGCGUAACGGAGGAGUUCGAAGGUACGCUAGGCACGGUCGGAAAUCGUGCUGAUAGUGCAUAGGCAUAAGCGUGCUUGACUGCGAGACUGACAAGUCGAGCAGGUACGAAAGUAGGACUAAGUGAUCCGGUGGUUCUGUAUGGAAGGGCCAUCGCUCAACGGAUAAAAGGUACUCUGGGGAUAACAGGCUGAUACCGCCCAAGAGUUCAUAUCGACGGCGGUGUUUGGCACCUCGAUGUCGGCUCAUCUCAUCCUGGGGCUGUAGCCGGUCCCAAGGGUAUGGCUGUUCGCCAUUUAAAGAGGUACGUGAGCUGGGUUUAAAACGUCGUGAGACAGUUUGGUCCCUAUCUUCCGUGGGCGCUGCAAGAUUGAGAGAGCCUGCUCCUAGUACGAGAGGACCGGAGUGGACGCACCUCUGGUGUAUCGGUUGUCACGCCAGUGGCAUUGCCGAGUAGCUAUGUGCGGAAGAGAUAACCGCUGAAAGCAUCUAAGCGGGAAACUCGUCUCAAGAUGAGUCUUGCCGGGGCCUUGA
rnacentral:rRNA from 1 species